GGACCAAGGAGUCUAGCAUGUGCGCGAGUCAUUGGGACUCUAACGAAACCUAAAGGCGCAAUGAAAGUGAAGGCCCCGCCUAGCGCGGGCCGAGGGAGGAUGGGCCGCCUCACGCGGGCGGCUCCGCACUCCCCGGGCGUCUCGUUCUCAUCGCGAGAAGAGGCGCACCUAGAGCGUACACGCUGGGACCCGAAAGAUGGUGAACUAUGCCUGGUCAGGACGAAGUCAGGGGAAACCCUGAUGGAGGUCCGUAGCGAUUCUGACGUGCAAAUCGAUCGUCGGAACUGGGUAUAGGGGCGAAAGACUAAUCGAACCAUCUAGUAGCUGGUUCCCUCCGAAGUUUCCCUCAGGAUAGCUGGCGCUCGUUGCUCGCGAGUCUCAUUCGGUAAAGCGAAUGAUUAGAGGCAUUGGGGUCGAAACGGCCUCAACCUAUUCUCAAACUUUAAAUGGGUGAGAUCUCCGGCUUGCUUGAACUGUGAAGCCGCGAGAUAUCGGAUCAGAGUGCCAAGUGGGCCACUUUUGGUAAGCAGAACUGGCGCUGUGGGAUGAACCAAACGCCGAGUUAAAGCGCCUAAAUCGACGCUUAUGGGAUACCAUGAAAGGCGUUGGUAACUUAAGACAGCAGGACGGUGGCCAUGGAAGUCGGA
rnacentral:rRNA from 1 species